UGGAACAAAUUGAGUCUUUUAAAAGAGGAGGCAGCAGGAAGAAUAAGUCUUCAGUCACCAAUGUAGGUGAUUCCAAAAUAUUCAUUCAGAUUUCUUCUUGGUUGAAUGCCCAGUGAAAUCCUGUCUUGAAAAACAAGAGUGAAACAAUCGCUAUAAAAAAAUGAAUCUCUCUCCUUCGUUUCCCUUCCCCUUCUUCUUUCUUUGCCUUGUUUUUUGUUCUAAUAUGUAUUAACACCUUGUAUAUUUCUUUAAUUACUCCAUAUUUAAUAUAUUACUUGUUUGGCAUAUCCAGUUAUUGUUGGCUCCCUCUCAGUUGAAUUUAUAUAAGCUCCAUGAUCUCAGUUGAAUUUAUAUAAGCUCCAUGGAAAUUGUGGCCUUUUAAAAACUGCUUUUCUCCCGAUGCCUAGAAGAGUAUGUAGCAUAUAGUAAGCUAUGAGUGAAUGUCACCUUACUGGGCAACUUGACAUCACAUCAUCACAUUGUGGACGUCAUAAUAUCGGACAUUACAUCAUGAUGUACUACCAAGAUGCUUCCUAAGGUGCCACUAAAGAAUGACCAACUUAUAGAGUCUGUAAUGCUGUGUUUUACUUCCACCAACACAAAUUUCUAUUUCCUACUUUGUUCAGAGCCCAAACCUUGGAAUUAUUUUUGAUGCCUCUAUUUCUCAUACAACACAUCUACACCAUCAGGAAAUCCUGGCAUCUCCAAAUGCUCUCUACCUUUGAAACACAUCCUUAAUCAGAUGAACCAAACAGAUAUGGUCCAUGCUUGGAUGAUGGCAACUUAUGGGCUCUUUGCUCUCAUUCUUGGCAAACCCCUUACUUCAUCCUAGCUCAGCAAUCAGAGGGAUCCCUUAAAAACAUCAGAUCUUGUCCUGGCUUUGCUCAAAAUUCUCUGAUGGUUCCUAGCUCAUCCAAAAUAAAAGCCAAAGUCCUUAUCACAGUUUGCAGAAGUCCCUACAAAUGACCAUUUGUCAUCAAUCCCCUUCAUUCUGCUUACCUCUCUGACCCUCCACUUUCCCUUUCAUUCAGCUCUAAAUGCUCUGCCUUUCUAUGCCUGUCUCAGGAUCUUUGUACCUGCUGUUUCCUCUACUUGGAAUGACAUGGUUCACUCCUCAACCUUGGGGUUCUUGGAUGUCACUUGCUCAGUGACCACACUCUUCCUCCUUGGGCAUUCUGUUUAAAAUGGCUACGCCACCUCACUCCACCUUACCUCACCUCUCCUUGGCCUGCUAGUUUUCACAGAUAUUUUUGCAUUAUCUGACAUGCACACAUACACAUAUUUACACAUUUUUUACUGUUUGUCUCUGCCUAGAAUGCAAGCUUCAAGAAGGUCAGACUUUUACCUGUUUUAGCUCACUGUUGUGUCCUCCAUGUCUAGAACAAUGGUGCCUAUCAUGCAGCAAGACAAGAAAAUAGUUCUUUACUAAAGUAGAAAAAUAAUUUUGGACUAGAUAUUUCCAAGUGCAAAGGUGUACACAAAAACCUUGGAAUGGCUCAGGAAUCAGACAUCUUUUCCUUAUAUUGGUCUUAUCCACCUGAAUUCAGUGGCAAACAAGGCACAUUAUCUGUGACUUCAGAGAGAGUACCCUAUAACCCUUUGGCUUGGAACAGCUAAUACAAUUUAAGUUUCUAUGAGCACAAGUCAUCAAGAAUUGGGUUUGUGACUUUGUCCCUGUGAGCUGCAGGGAAGAAGGGCUUGUGGAGUCUGCCUGGGGGAAUCAACUCUUCCUUACCUCGAAGAGCAGCAGGGCCAACCUGAGGACUUAGGGAGUGUGACAGCAAAUGAAGGCCACCCACCCCUCCACACCCCAGAGGACACCCACUGUG